CGGAAGGUAAACACGGGCAGCGCCGGCCGAGCGGCGACCCCAGCGGGGGCACGCAGCAGUCCGUGAGUCCCCGGGCGCCUCCGCGCCCUCCUGGAUCCCUCCUUCGGGGAGUUAGAUAGUGAACGCGGCCAGAGACGGACAUGCAUUGUUUCAGAGAGCGCUAGAUGCUGAGAAACGAACUUUUUGAAAAGUAAUGGGCCAGAGCGUGGGGACACGGGAGCUAGGCAGUCCCGGAGGGCGUAAGGAGACGACUUUAGAGCUGAGACCUGGAUGUCUUGAUCCACAGUUGAAAACACUGAGUUGAGGACCAGGCCACACUGGGAAAUGGAGCCAGAAUUCCAGCCCAGUUCUGAGAGACCCACAGCCUCAUGAUCUUCCGACUUCCUUGCCUCUCUCAACAUGUAGUCUCCAUUCCCCGGGAAUUUACCUUUUGGACUCAGCAGAGGCCAAGGGCUCUUUGGAGGAGGAUGCUCUGCCUCAUUAUUCCUAGUAGUGAAAAAGUGGGAAGCACUGAAGCCUGACUACAGAAGAAAAACUAAGUAGAUCAUGGCCCCCCUCACGGGGAAUUUCUUGCAAUAGUUGAAAAUGCUAAUUAUAUAGAUUAUGGAAAUACAGGGAAAAGCCAAUGAUAAGACGUUAAGUUUUUUGUUUUUUUUUUUUAAAGAUUUUAUUUUUUCCUUUUUCUCCCCAAAGCCCCCCAGUACAUAGUUGUGUAUUCUUCGUUGUGGGUUCUUCUAGUUGUGGCAUGUGGGAUGCUGCCUCAGCGUGGUCUGAUGAGCAGGGCCAUGUCCGCGCCCAGGAUUCGAACUAACGAAACACUGGGCCACCUGCAGCGGAGCGCGCGAACGUAACCACUCGGCCACGGAGCCAGCCCCAAUAAGACGUUAAGUUUUAAAAAGCCCCAUGCAAAAUGGUCUGUACACCACGAUUACAACUGUGUCAAAAUACAACCAUGCGGGGCUGGCCCUGUGGCCGAGUGGUUAAGUUCGCGCGCUCCGCUUCAGUGGCCCAGGAUUUCGCCAGUUUGGAUCCUGGGCACAGACAUGGCACUGCUCAUCAGGCCAUGCUGAGGCGGCAUCCCACAUGCCACAACCAGAGGCACUCAAAAACUAGAAGAUACAACUAUGUACUGGGGGGCUUUGGGGAGAAGAAUAAAAAAAAAGAAAAUUGGCAACAGUUGUUAGCUCAGGUGCCAAUCUUUAAAAAAAAAAUACGACCAUGUGAAGGGACCAUGAGAGAACGUAAAAAUGAGAAUACUUGUGUGUUUGGUUGGUGGGGCUGUUUUUCCCAUUUUCAAAAUUAUCCGUUACAGGUGUUAAUUAUUCUGGUUAAAGUGUGUCUGAGUCCAAACCCCGCCCCUGCACCCUCGAUUUAGGUCAGCUACCGCUGUAACCUUUAGUAAGGCAUCACAGACCUGCUCCAUGGAGUUAUUACGAGGAUAAUGUUUUAUACCUUCUCGUAGCAUCCUCUGCCUUUUCUUCAUGGAACUUGAGGCAGGAUAAGUUACUGAAAUUGUAGUUUGUGUUUUAGGUUUUCUACCACCAGGCACCCCCUUUAAGUAUUGUAAUUCUUCCUGGAAUUUUAG
rnacentral:lncRNA from 1 species